rnacentral:rRNA from 1 species
UACGUAGGGGGCAAGCGUUGUUCGGAAUUACUGGGCGUAAAGGGCGCGUAGGCGGUCAGUGCAAGUCAGUUGUGAAAUCUCCGGGCUUAACUCGGAAAGGUCAACUGAUACUGCUCGACUAGAGUGCGGAAGGGGCAACUGGAAUUCUUGGUGUAGCGGUGAAAUGCGUAGAUAUCAAGAGGAACACCUGCGGCGAAGGCGGGUUGCUGGGCCGACACUGACGCUGAAGUGCGAAAGCUAGGGGAGCGAACGGG